CCUACGGGAGGCAGCAGUGAGGAAUUUUCCGCAAUGGGCGAAAGCCUGACGGAGCAAUACCGCGUGAGGGAUGAAGGAUUUUGGUCUGUAAACCUCUUUUCUCAAGAAAGAAGUUCUGACGGUACUUGAGGAAUAAGCAUCGGCUAACUCCGUGCCAGCAGCCGCGGUAAUACGGGGGAUGCAAGCGUUAUCCGGAAUGAUUGGGCGUAAAGCGCCUGUAGGUUGUUUAUUAAGUCCGUUGUUAAAGCCUAGGGCUUAACCCUAGAAAAGCAAUGGAAACUAGUAGACUAGAGUAUGGCAGGGGUAGAGGGAAUUUCUAGUGUAGCGGUGAAAUGCGUAGAUAUUAGAAAGAACACCGGUGGCGAAAGCGCUCUACUGGACCAUUACUGACACUCAGAGGCGAAAGCUAGGGUAGCAAAAGGGAUUAGAUACCCCUGUAGUCCUAGCCGUAAACGAUGGAUACUAGAUGUUGUGNAUAUAGUACUAGUAUCGCAGACUAACGUACGUUAAGUUAUACCGUCCGUCGGGUAGGUACGUCGUCGCGAGGUAGGAACGUAACGAAGUAAGUAGGACGCGNGAGAGCGACGACGACGACGACGGAGGAGGAG
rnacentral:rRNA from 1 species